rnacentral:rRNA from 1 species
AUUGAACGCUGGCGGCAGGCCUAACACAUGCAAGUCGAACGAGUGGCGGACGGGUGAGUAAUGUCUGGGAAACUGCCUGAUGGAGGGGGAUAACUACUGGAAACGGUAGCUAAUACCGCAUACCAUCGGAUGUGCCCAGAUGGGAUUAGCUAGUAGGUGGGGGAAAGGCGCCCCUCGGCGACGAUCCCUAGCUGGUCUGAGAGGAUGACCAGCCACACGGGAACUGAGACACGGUCCAGACUCCUACGGUAGGCAGCAGGGGGGAAGAUUGCACAAGUGUCGCAAGCCUGAUGCAGCCAUGCCGCGUGUAUGAAGAAGGCCUGCGGGUUGUAAAGUACUGUCAGUGGGGAGGCGUUACCCGCAGAAGAAGCACCGGCUAACUCCGUGCCAGCAGCCGCGGUAAUAG